CACAGACUCAGAUGGGCAGGUGCAGACUCAGGUGGGCAGGCGCACAGACUCAGAUGGGCAGGUGCAGACUCAGGUGGGCAGGUGCAGACUCAGAUGGGCAGGCCCACAGACUCAGAUGGGCAGGUGCAGACUCAGGUGGGCAGGCGCACAGACUCAGAUGGGCAGGUGCAGACUCAGGUGGGCAGGCGCACAGACUCAGAUGGGCAGGUGCAGACUCAGAUGGGCAGGUGCAGACUCAGAUGGGCAGGUGCAGACUCAGAUGGGCAGGUGCAGACUCAGGUGGGCAGGCGCACAGACUCAGAUGGGCAGGUGCAGACUCAGGUGGGCAGGCGCACAGAUUCAGAUGGGCAGGUGCAGACUCAGGUGGGCAGGUGCAGACUCAGGUGGGCAGACGCACAGACUCAGGUGGGCAGGUGCAGACUCAGGUGGGCAGACGCACAGACUCAGGUGGGCAGGCGCGCAGACUCAGGUGGGCAGGCGCACAGACUCAGGUGGAUGGGUGUACAGACUCAGAUGGGUAGUUGCACAGUCUAAACAAGGAGGCUCAGUCUUAAC
rnacentral:lncRNA from 1 species